rnacentral:rRNA from 1 species
GAUGAACGCUAGCGGCAGGCCUAAUACAUGCAAGUCGAACGGUAACAUGAGUAGCAAUACUUGAUGACGAGUGGCGCACGGGUGCGUAACGCGUAUGCAAUCUACCUUUAACUGGUGAAUAGCCCGAAGAAAUUCGGAUUAAUACACCAUAGUAUAUUGAGGAGGCAUCUCCUUAAUAUUAAAACUCCGGUGGUUAAAGAUGAGCAUGCGUGACAUUAGCUAGUUGGUGAGGUAACGGCUCACCAAGGCAGCGAUGUCUAGGGGAUCUGAGAGGAUUAACCCCCACACUGGUACUGAGUCAGGGACCAGACUCCUACGGGAGGCAGCAGUAAGGAAUAUUGGACAAUGGUCGCAAGACUGAUCCAGCCAUGCCGCGUGAAGGAUGACGGCCCUAUGGGUUGUAAACUUCUUUUGUACGGGAAAAAACCCUUCUACGUGUAGAGGGCUGAUUGUACCGUAAGAAUAAGGAUCGGCUAACUCCGUGCCAGCCGCCGCCGUAA